UCAUUCUUCUUCUUCUUUCUUUCUUCAUUCUGUUUCUUCUCUUCCCCUGUUCUUUCUCUUCUGCGAGCGUGUGACAGAUUAAACGAAGGUUUGAUUAUCAGUAGAAGGUGAGGAAGACUAUGGGUUAGUUGAUGCUGAUUGUGUGGUUGUCUAGUAGUUGAUUCAACUCGAGAUAAAAGAAGAAAUCAAAAGUCAGGGUUUUGGGAAGAUAAGGUUCAUUGAAGAAUUUCGUGGAAUUGAGUAUGAAAUCGAUAAAUUAAGGAUGGGUGUUCACUGUUAUUAGCAAAGAAGAAGAUUUGCUAGUCAAUUUUAGAUUCACAGUGAAGGGUUGAAUAAACUUGGGUUUGUAUGAUGAGCUCAGAGAAGCUUUUGAAGGUGAAUUUGAUGUUUUAGGAAGGUGAUUGGAGGUGGGUAUUGAGGUAUUAAAGGAAUUAGAGUUAUGGUUGAAUUUUAAUUGAGAAUAUGGAGUUGUUCUGUGAAACAUCAAUGAAUUAGGGUUCUUGAGUCUUAAACACAGAUAAAGAAGAUGUAAUUGAAGUUUUGGAGUUGACUUGGUAAAGAAUUGAAGAUGAUUAGGGUUUCUGUUCUUCAAGAAAUAAAAACUAAGGUUUCAGAAGCAUUGGUUCGGUGAAUUAAUAAUUCAGGGGAGGCCAAUGGUUGGGUAAGUUUAUGUUGUUUAAUUUCGCUGUUUGAAGUUGAAUUGCUAAUGAUUGUUGAGUUUAUAAUUUUGUGUUUGAGACUGAGGUUGAGAUGAAUUGGGUAUUGCUCUGCUGAUGUUUUGAAGUAUAUGUCAUGUGCGACUGAAUCUGGUUGAUUGUCUGCAUAUGGAUAUUGACUGGAAUUGAAGUAGACAUGGUGGUGUAAGGAUGAUUUACAGGUUCCUUGUGAAAUUAAGGUUCACAAUUUAGAAUGGUGAUGAACUGAAGAUAAUUGAAUUGGGGAUGGAGUUGUCUGUGUAUUGAGAUUACAAGUGAUGUAAAUGGGUAUGAACAGAUGAUGAUGGUCUUAACUGAAAUGGUAAUACUAGAUAUAAGCUGGGUCUGAUUUGUAUGAGGUGACUGUGUGUUGUUGAAGAUGAGGUGUUGAAGUCAGUUAUUAAGAAGAAUGGGAGUUGAACUGUUGCUGACGUUGUUGGCCUAAUGGAUUCUAGGGAUGCUGAGAUGGAGAUGCAAUUGGUGUUAGUUUGUGAGAUAAUGAAAUUGCAGAUUGUGCUGGCAGUAAUGAAAUGGGGAUGUGGAUUGAACCGCAGCUGAAUUGUUGUGCGUAUUGUAGUUAGUGAAUAUGAGAUGGAGGUGGUAGUAUGAUUGAUUGUAGUGGUAGUGUUAUAAUGGGGACGCAGGUGAUGCAAGUGAAGCUUUAGAUGAAAAUUAGGUUACAGAUAAUGGUUUCGGGUGACUGCAAUGGGUUGCUGGACUGAAGUUACAAUUGUAGAUGGGUUGUAGGAUUAGUUAGUGCAUCAAGUGCAGGCUUGCAACUGCAAUUGCAGUUAGUUAUUAACAACGAUCGAUUCAAAGGAUGAACCAGUGGAUCGUGGAUCUCGAGGUAGGCGUGGCUUGUCAUCAAAAGAGUUUCAGUGACAAAUCAGAGUUGCGCAGCAAAAGCUUCGAGGAGUUGACUCCGUUAAUUAGUUAACUUUUGCUAUGAUUAUUAUGCCGUUUAUUCUAUUUGUAAUCAAAAUGACUAUUGUAUUUGUAUCAUUUGAGAGAAGUUCUUGUAUAUAUAUUUUUGAGAGGGGUUAGUUUUGGGUUAAGUUUUAUAGCCGAUUUCUUAAUUGAAUGUUUAAAUAAAUGAUUUAGUUUCUUAGUGCA